rnacentral:rRNA from 1 species
CGAACGCUGGCGGCGUGCUUAACACAUGCAAGUCUAAGGAGAACGGAUUCUUCGGAAUCCUAUUAAACUGGCGAACGGGUGAGUAACGCGUAGACAACUUGCCCAGAGAUUUGGGAUAACACCGAGAAAUUGGUGCUAAUACCGAAUAAUAUCAUGAGAACCUCGGUUUUUGUGAUCAAAGGUGGCUUCGGCUACCGUCUUUGGAUGGGUCUGCGUCUGAUUAGCUAGUUGGUGAGGUAAUGGCUCACCAAGGCGACGAUCAGUAGCUGGUCUGAGAGGAUGAUCAGCCACACUGGGACUGAGAUACGGCCCAGACUCCUACGGGAGGCAGCAGUGGGGAAUAUUGCGCAAUGGACGAAAGUCUGACGCAGCAACGCCGCGUGAUCGAUGACGCUUCAAGGAGUGUAAAGAUCUGUCCUAAGGGAAGAAUGGUUCCAAGUCGAAUAGGCUUGGUUCGUGACGGUACCUUAGAAGAAAGCGCCGGCUAACUUC